CUCGACCUCAGAUCAGACAAGGCUACCCGCUGAAUUUAAGCAUAUUAAUAAGCGGAGGAAAAGAAACUAACAAGGAUUCCCCUAGUAACGGCGAGUGAAGCGGGAUCAGCUCAAAUUUAAAAUCUCCGUUGCUUGCAACGGCGAAUUGUAGUUUCGAGAAGCGCUUUCUCGGCGGACCGGCUGCGCCUAAGUUGCUUGGAACAGCACGUCAUAGAGGGUGACAACCCCGUCUGUGGCGUGUCCGGCCGCUCACGAUGUGCUUUCGAAGAGUCGGGUUGUUUGGGAAUGCAGCCCAAAAUGGGUGGUAAACUCCAUCUAAAGCUAAAUAUUGGCACGAGACCGAUAGCGAACAAGUACCGUGAGGGAAAGAUGAAAAGGACUUUGGAAAGAGAGUUAAAAAGUACGUGAAACCGUUAAAAGGGAAACGAAUGGAGCUAGCAAUGCACCCUGCGAGAUUCAGCCGGUGGGCGUUUCGGGCGCGCGGUUUGCAGAUCUGAAUUGACUGCGGCCGCACGGUUCGGGCUCCCCGCCGUCGCACUUCUCGCGGGUGCGCGUCAACAUGGGUUGGGACCGGGUCUUAAAGGCGCCGGGAAGGUAGGUCCGUCCCUUCGGGGUCGGACUGUUUAGGCCGGCGUUCUCGCGGCCCGGGCCCGACCGAGGUGAUGCAGCACAUGCCUCUUGUGGCUGGUUUCUCGUUCCUCCGGUUGGUUGUCGACUGUGGUGGACUGCUUGCAGUGCACCGCGACUGCUGCCGGUCGCUGGGGCGGUGACUUCGCACGAUGUGCUUGGGAUGUUGGCGGUCAUAUGGCUUUAUCCGACCCGUCUUGAAACACGGACCAAGGAGUCUACCAUAUGCGCGAGUCUUUGGGUGAUUGAAACCCGCGGGCAGAAUGAAAGUGAAGGCGGCCUCGGCCGUCGAGGUGAGAACCUCCCCUCACCGGGGUGGUGCAUCAUCGACCGACCUAUUCUACUCUUAGGAAGGUUUGAGUAAGAGCGCAUUUGCUGGGACCCGAAAGAUGGUGAACUAUGCCUGAAUAGGGUGAAGCCAGAGGAAACUCUGGUGGAGGCUCGUAGCGAUUCUGACGUGCAAAUCGAUCGUCAAAUUUGGGUAUAGGGGCGAAAGACUAAUCGAACUGUCUAGUAGCUGGUUCCCUCCGAAGUUUCCCUCAGGAUAGCAGGAGCUCAUUGCAGUUUUAUCAGGUAAAGCGAAUGAUUAGAGGUCUUAGGGUUAAAACAACCUUAACCUAUUCUCAAACUUUAAAUUGGUAAGAAGUCCGACUUGCUUAAUUGAAGCCGGACGUGGAAUGCGAGUUUCUAGUGGGCCAUUUUUGGUAAGCAGAACUGGCGAUGCGGGAUGAACCGAACGCAGAGUUAAGGUGCCAAAGUCGACGCUCAUCAGACCCCACAAAAGGUGUUGGUUGCUAUAGACAGCAGGACGGUGGCCAUGGAAGUCGGAAUCCGCUAAGGAGUGUGUAACAAC
rnacentral:rRNA from 1 species